GACGAACGUUGGCGGCGUGCUUACACAUGCAAGUCGAACGGAAAGGCCCUGCUUUUGUGGGGUGCUCGAGUGGCGAACGGGUGAGUAACACGUGAGUAACCUGCCCUUGACUUUGGGAUAACUUCAGGAAACUGGGGCUAAUACCGGAUAGGAGCUCCUGCUGCAUGGUGGGGGUUGGAAAGUUUCGGCGGUUGGGGAUGGACUCGCGGCUUAUCAGCUUGUUGGUGGGGUAGUGGCUUACCAAGGCUUUGACGGGUAGCCGGCCUGAGAGGGUGACCGGCCACAUUGGGACUGAGAUACGGCCCAGACUCCUACGGGAGGCAGCAGUGGGGAAUAUUGCACAAUGGGCGGAAGCCUGAUGCAGCAACGCCGCGUGCGGGAUGACGGCCUUCGGGUUGUAAACCGCUUUCGCCUGUGACGAAGCGUGAGUGACGGUAAUGGGUAAAGAAGCACCGGCUAACUACGUGCCAGCAGCCGCGGUGAUACGUAGGGUGCGAGCGUUGUCCGGAUUUAUUGGGCGUAAAGGGCUCGUAGGUGGUUGAUCGCGUCGGAAGUGUAAUCUUGGGGCUUAACCCUGAGCGUGCUUUCGAUACGGGUUGACUUGAGGAAGGUAGGGGAGAAUGGAAUUCCUGGUGGAGCGGUGGAAUGCGCAGAUAUCAGGAGGAACACCAGUGGCGAAGGCGGUUCUCUGGGCCUUUCCUGACGCUGAGGAGCGAAAGCGUGGGGAGCGAACAGGCUUAGAUACCCUGGUAGUCCACGCUGUAAACGGUGGGUACUAGGUGUGGGGUCCAUUCCACGGGUUCCGUGCCGUAGCUAACGCUUUAAGUACCCCGCCUGGGGAGUACGGCCGCAAGGCUAAAACUCAAAGGAAUUGACGGGGCCCCGCACAAGCGGCGGAACAUGCGGAUUAAUUCGAUGCAACGCGUAGAACCUUACCUGGGUUUGACAUGGAUCGGGAGUGCUCAGAGAUGGGUGUGCCUCUUUUGGGGUCGGUUCACAGGUGGUGCAUGGCUGUCGUCAGCUCGUGUCGUGAGAUGUUGGGUUAAGUCCCGCAACGAGCGCAACCCUUGUUCACUGUUGCCAGCACGUUAUGGUGGGGACUCAGUGGAGACCGCCGGGGUCAACUCGGAGGAAGGUGGGGAUGACGUCAAGUCAUCAUGCCCCUUAUGUCCAGGGCUUCACGCAUGCUACAAUGGCUGGUACAGAGAGUGGCGAGCCUGUGAGGGUGAGCGAAUCUCGGAAAGCCGGUCUCAGUUCGGAUUGGGGUCUGCAACUCGACCUCAUGAAGUCGGAGUCGCUAGUAAUCGCAGAUCAGCAACGCUGCGGUGAAUACGUUCCCGGGGCA
rnacentral:rRNA from 1 species